UACGAAGGGGGCUAGCGUUGUUCGGAAUUACUGGGCGUAAAGCGCACGUAGGCGGGCGAUUAAGUCAGGGGUGAAAUCCCGGAGCUCAACUCCGGAACUGCCUUUGAUACUGGUCGUCUAGAGAUCGGAAGAGGUGAGUGGGAUUCCCAGUGUAGAGGUGAAAUUCGUAGAUAUUGGGAAGAACACCAGUGGCGAAGGCGGCUCACUGGUCCGAUACUGACGCUGAGGUGCGAAAGCGUGGGGAGCAAACAGG
rnacentral:rRNA from 1 species